rnacentral:rRNA from 1 species
GACGAACGCUGGCGGCGUGCUUAACACAUGCAAGUCGAACGAAAAGAGGGAAAGAGCUUGCUCUUUCCGGAAUUGAGUGGCAAACGGGUGAGUAACACGUAAACAACCUGCCUUCAGGAUGGGGACAACAGACGGAAACGACUGCUAAUACCGAAUAAGUUCCAAGAGCCGCAUGGCCCAUGGAGGAAAAGGUGGCCUCUACCUGUAAGCUAUCGCCUGAAGAGGGGUUUGCGUCUGAUUAGCUGGUUGGAGGGGUAACGGCCCACCAAGGCGACGAUCAGUAGCCGGUCUGAGAGGAUGAACGGCCACACUGGAACUGAGACACGGUCCAGACUCCUACGGGAGGCAGCAGUGGGGAAUCUUCCGCAAUGGGCGAAAGCCUGACGGAGCAACGCCGCGUGAGUGAUGACGGCCUUCGGGUUGUAAAACUCUGUGAUCCGGGACGAAAAGGCAGAGUGCGAAGAACAAACUGCAUUGACGGUACCGGAAAAGCAAGCCACGGCUAACUACGUG